AAGACAGAGAGUCAACCGCUCAAUCAUUUUUAUGGAACCCAACUUCCCAUGUCUUAUGAUCAGAAGAUACAGCAUAUAGCAGGUUCAAAUAGUCACAAUUUCAAUACGAAGUGCUACUGACAAUUUAACAUAUAGAAUUAGUAUUUGAAAGAGGAAAAAAAAUCACGAUCAUAUUCUGACCAAUCAUUUGCCUUAUAAAUGCAUUCCAUAUCUCAUUUAGCAAUAGGUCUAUGACUUUCAACUCCUUUAGUGCUUUUAACCAAACCUUUUAAUUUUAAUAGAACAAGUCAUGGAUUUUUAUGGGGGAACAUUCCCUCUGUUUCUACGAAGCAAAUUGAAACUAAAGUUCAGUAGUUCACCCUUAACUGGAAAGAGUACCUUUCACAAACAAUCUCAAGACACAUAAUUGAUUGAUAACCAGUACAUCUUAAUUAUGGGAGUUUCAACUAAUAUCUCAGUAGGGAAAAAAUCAUUGUUAGGACGGAAUUUGCAGGUCUUUUUUUUUUGGCAACUGAGAGAGAGAGAGAGAAGAAGAA
rnacentral:misc_RNA from 1 species